rnacentral:rRNA from 1 species
AGUCGUAACAAGGUUUCCGUAGGUGAACCUGCGGAAGGAUCAUUAACAAAUCUUUACACACGAUCUCCUUUCCUUCGGGAGAGGAGACUCGACACACGAUUAAGGUUGACAAACAUUGAGACAAUCAAUUAAAAACAACUUUUAACAAUGGAUCUCUUGGCUCUUGCAGCGAUGAAGAACGCAGCGAACUGCGAAAAGUAAUGUGACCUGCAAACUUUGUGAAACAUCCAAUCUUUGAACGCAACUUGCACCUAAUAGCAUUUGUUAUUAGGUAUACUUGUUUGAGUAUCUUCUACCAACUCUUACACACUCGUGUGUACGGAAUUGAGCGUCUUGAUAAAGUCGCUUUAAAGAAAGACCAGUUGAUGUUUCUGAACGUCAAGGUCUAUUGGGAUAACAUCCUAACAAUAGACUGUUCUCGAAAUAUUGGUUUAUUUUGAACUCUGAUCUCAAAUCAAGUAAGGAUACCCGCCGAAUUUAAGCAUAUUAAUAAGCGGAGGAAAAGAAACUAACAAGGAUUCCCCUAGUAGCGGCGAGCGAAGAGGGAAGAGCUCAAAUUUAAAAUCUGGUACCUUUGGUAUCCGAAUUGUAUUUGAUAGUGCUAUUCUUCGAGGACCACUAUGACCCAAGUCCUUUGGAAAAAGGCAACAAAGAGGGUGACAUUCCCGUUUGGGUCAUGGAUGGCGAUCGGUAUAAGAAUAGUUCGACGAGUCGGAUUGCUUGGGAAUGCAGUCCAAAAUGGGUGGUACACGCCAUCUAAAGCUAAAUAACGGCAAGAGACCGAUAGCGAACAAGUACCGUGAGGGAAAGAUGAAAAGAACUUUGAAAAGAGAGUUAAAUAGUACGUGAAAUUGUUAAAAGGGAACCGAUUGAGAUCAGUGAUGCUAAUAGCAUUUCAGCUUAUCUGAAGAUGAGUGUAUUGUGCUAUAAGCAAGUCGACUCUUCUUUUGAUUCUUGGAAAAGGCGAUAGGAAAUGUGGCACUGCUUGCAGUUGCUUUAUAGUCCCAUUGAGAUACAAGGAUUGAGAGAAGACCACAAGGAUAACCAAGUCGACGAAAUGGUCUUAAACGACC